rnacentral:lncRNA from 10 species
CAAAAAUGAAAUGAACACUGCUCUGCCGACCCAUCCCUGGAGACACUGACUUACACGGGUCUGAUGCUGUUGAUGAUGUUCUAUCGAUUUCCCCUCUAAUUGCUGCAGCUGGAUCUAUAUUCAUUUUCUGUCUCAAACUUCUCUUUUGUUGGUUCAAUCAGCUAAAUGAAGGGCCCAUUUCUCUCUGUCCCUGUCCUGAAAAGCCAAAGAAGUUUCCAAUGAAGAGCUCUCUUCGGAAAUCAGUGAGGCCAGCAGACUGAGGACAAAGAGCGUCAGAAUUUGAUUACCUCUUUUGAAAAGUUGGCUAAGAACAAAGCUGGAAAAGAAAGUCUCGGGAGACCGAGUCCAUUGGCAAGAAGAGGAGAUAUUUCCCCUUGAAUUCACAGAUCAGUUCAUUCAUUCAUUCCACAACUUUAUUGAACAUCUACCAUGGACCAGACUCCAUGGUAGGAUCUAAAAAUAUUCAUCAUGAACCAAAUGGACACAGACCCUGCCUUCACAAAGUUAAGUACAUUCUUAUCGGAGGCCCCAAACUUUCAACUCAUCAUAGCCCAGCUUCUCAUUUCUCAUCCCUGUUUCUGUGAUCAAUUCAUAGCCCACGUCUCUGUCCUCACUGACAUACUUCUCAUCCAGUAACUGGACACCGAAAGCCAGAGAAGUCGGGUAUUCAGAUUCCAAAUCAUUGUGCUGAGGCAAUCCUGCCUUCGGCUGAAGAAAUAGGGAGCGGGGACAAUGCGUCAGGACGGCCUCUUUUUACUCAGCGUGAGCUUUGUUACUCACCCGAGGUGUUCUACCUUGAAUCAUGGCUUUUGUGAGGAAAACCAGGAUCAUGCAGAAGGAUGAAGUGCUAUUUCCUCAGUGGCACCUUCAGUGCUACUGACACUUUCAAGAAUAUGCGUGUCUAUGCAGCAGAAACAGACACCCUGAGAUGCUGGAUUUGAGAUAAUUCACUGAGUUUUAUCAACAUAUGUGAACACACAGAUUUUCAGCUAAUAUUAGAAGUUGAGAUGAGACUGAUUAACGUGACUCCUAGGCAGGCCUCAUCAUAUCUCCUAAAAGAAGUGCAAGCAUCCUAUUUGAAUACAUACCCUGGCCCUCCUCCUUUUUCCCUUGAGUUCCCUCUUGAGGUUAAUAAAACUUGAUGUAUGAGAUGACGUUGAGUGUCCCAGGCCCAAAGAAGUUCAGGAUGAGUACAAACAUGUGCAUACCGUGGUUAGAAGAUAAGAUUGCUUGGAGUUCUUUGCUUCAUUCUGACCACGUGCAGAUCAGCAUAGAUGGUGAGUGAGGAAAAGCUCUUCCUGUGGACACUUCUGAAUAAGUUCUAAUAACUUGACUAAAAUUUAUUCCAGAAAUAAAAUAUUCAGAGUGCUCAAUUAGAAAUAAAAAACUGGGCUCUGGCUUGAGAUGGUGUUGGUGGGUGAGGAUUCAGCAUUGCAGGUAGACUAUGGGACUGAGGGAUCAAGAUCAGGCAUUCCCAUGAGGAGAUACCAAAGUCAAGCCCAGUCAAGAGCUGUCAAUUCAAAGUCCAGGGGGAAACCAAGGUCAAGGACUAUGCACUACAGUCAGCAUCAAUGCCAGCACACAACAGAGAGUAAAGCAAGCGGAGAGCCUUCGGCUGGAAGUAUCUAAAGGCCAGAUGACUGGUGUAAUUUUCAGAAUUUUUUUGGCUGAAAAUUACAGAAAAUCCAACCCAAAAUGACUUAAUCAGGAAGAAAUUUGGUAGAUUACAAAACUGAAAAGUUCAGGGGGUUGGAUUAUUUCCAGGUAUGGUUUGAUACAGAGAUUGAACAAUGUCAGCAGAACCCAGUUUUCUCUGUCUCUUUCAG